GUGAUGGAUUAAAGGAAAAGUGCUGCUUCUCCAAUUAACUUCCCAUGCAAUUGGGAUUCUGUCCUUAACUUUUUCCUCCUGACCUCUUGUUGCACCAGCUCAUUACUAUUGACUGUUUGCUCAUCACUUGCUGGACAAGUUUGCUUUAAGGCAGGGUCCUGUCCCUUUAAGAGAGGACUUGCUUCGCAGGUUGGAGUAGUAAGAUGGCUACCCCCUAAGUUUGGAGUACCAAUAUGGCCACCAUCACACCCUUUCCCAGCAUUACUGUUGGGCGUAGCAAGAUGGAGGCUGACAGAUGAACUGCACAUUAGAUUUUUUAUCAGCAGCUGCAUCAGGAAGCAAUGGAAGAGCAAUGUGGGGUUCUGCUGGGGGUGAGCGCUGUCCCUGUGCUCCCAAAUGGCUGCCACCCUGAUAGUGUGACUGUGGAACAGCCUUGGUUUGGUGCCUAACUUAAGCUGGAAGCCCAAAGAAAUGCCCUUUCUGCUCAACCCUCAGCUACAGCUCAUCAGUCCUCCUUUUGAUCAGCAAUGUCCACCUCUGAGUUUCCUACUGGGGGACUGCGCUUUCCAGCAGAAUUAUUAAACAUUUUAAUUGGUGGAAGGUCACUGCACGUUGACCCCUUGUCUUCAUUUGGUGUCUGAGCUGUCUGAGAAAGUGAUAUCUUUUGACCAGUUUAUCAGCAAGCAAAUGAUGAAUAAAAACACUAAAUAUG